UACGUAGGGGCUAGCGUUGUCCGGAAUCAUUGGGCGUAAAGAGCGUGUAGGCGGUCCGGUAAGUCCGCUGUGAAAGUCGGGGUCAACCCUCGAAUGCCGGUGGAUACUGUCGGGCUAGAGUGCGGAAGAGGCGAGUGGAAUUCCUGGUGUAGCGGUGGAAAUGACGCAGAUAUCAGGAGGAACACCUAUGCGAAGGCAGCUCGCUGGGACGUAACUGACGCUGAGACGCGAAGCGUGGGGAGCAAACAG
rnacentral:rRNA from 1 species